rnacentral:lncRNA from 1 species
GAAUUUUUAUUGUGUUCAUUCACUCAUCCCUACACAGCAAGAAGGUGGCUGGUAGAAGACAGGAAGAGAGCCCUCGUUGGAGCUGCCUGUGCCAGCCCCCGCCCGAGCCAGCACCCUGGUCUUUGACUUCCAGCUUCCAGAACCGUGAGACAAUGAUUUCUAUUGUUCAGUACCAAAAAUAUUUUAGUAACAGUUUUAACCUUUCCUUUCUGUGUUUCUUAAUCUUUUACCUUCCCAAGAUAAUUUUGAAAAGCAAAGCGUUUGCCAGACUCUUUCAGUUAAGGUUCAAGAUGUAUCUGUAUCUGAUAUAUUCACUCAAGACACGGAUGGAGAAGUGAGCAAUGUCAGGAAGAAGCAAUCUGUGUGAGAAGGAUUUUUUCUGACAACCACAGUGGUGGAAGAGUACUUUAGGAGCAGAAGUGCUGUCAUCCUGUCCUGUCAUUAUCCACUGCAGGAGUGGAGGGGAGCCACGGUGUUUUUCCUUGGUCUGCUCGGAUCAUGGAGCUGCUCCUGACUGUGAGGUUCUUUUUCUACUAAAAGCAACAACAACAUCAAAGAAAGACCUCUUCUCUUCUAAUAAACAUGGGGACUAUGGAUUGUCAACAGUUGGAAGCGUUCAUCUGUGAAUAACAGAGAUGCUAAAAUAUCAAGGACUUUAGCCACUUAGAAGUUGUUUCCCUUCUCUUGCAAAAAUUGGAGGUAGGAAGUUUGGUGGUUUGUGCCAUGAAAUCUUGUACCAUGAGAACUUUAAUCUUUUUUACUUCGUUCUGCAUAAACUACCAUUUCCAAGCUCACAUCAUGGUCCAAAGGGCUGUCCCAACUCCUGACAUCCUGCAUCCAAGUCAGAAAGAAGGAAGAAGCCACCAGGGGAACAAGUGGAAGGUACUGGGCGAAAUCCUCCUGUCUCUUAAGAAGGGUCCUAGACUCUGCUAUGUGGUUAUUUGGCAUCUUAUUGGACAGAACCCAAUUUCAUGGCCAGACAUGACUGUAAGGGAGGUUGGGACCACUAGCAUUUUUUGGGGGGGUGGGGAUAGGGGGCGGACCGUGUACCUAGGUACAAGGGAGAUGACCUCGGAAUCUUAUUUGACACCCUUCUCUGGCAGUUGAGUCUCUGGCUUUCUAGGGGGAGUGCUUCUGCUCUGUGAGUUCCAGGACACCUGGCUCUCAGGGAGGCUCAUCUCUGCCCAGUAUCCUGAUGACAGACAUUAGAGUUUCACCCUUUAAAGGGGCUUCACAGGUUUUAUAUAGUCCUGUGUCUGGGGUUUGGGGACCCUGAAUGUCUCAUGGCUUUGUAAAAGUAAGGGAGGCAUUUAUUAGGAGACACUUUGUGGUAUCUAUCAUAUAAAAGUACAUGAGUCAACAUCUUAUGAGAGAUUAAGGUCUAAAGACAGCUCUUAAGGAAAAGUCAUAGUCAAAAUUACUCUUUACACAGUCGUACGUCAUCCUCUACAACCUUGUAAAUGUGUAUCAGUUGGCUAUUAUCACAUAACUGGCCACCCCAAAAUUCAGUGGCAUAAAAUAACAAUCAUUUAUUCUCACACUUCUGCAAGUUGGCUGAUUGCGGCUGACUCAGCGAGGCUUGUGGGGCUUGGCUGUAAGCUGCAGGCUGGUCAAGUCCUGCUCUGCGUGUCACUCAUCUUCUUUAGAUUAGUGAGCUAGCCAGGACAUGUUCUGUCGGAUGGCAGAAGAACCACAGUGCGAAGUCAGCCGGGCAAGCACAUUUCAAGCCUCAGCUUGUGUUACAACUGCUCAGAUCCCAUUGAGCAAAGCAAGUCACAGCCAAGCCUAAUGUCAGGGGAUGAGGAAGUCACACUGUUCUGCACUGGGCUAAGAAGACAUGAGACCAAGCCCGAUGUCCCUCAAAAUUCACCCCCCCCUUGAGGGGAAAUACAGUAAGGACUUAGCGUCUUCACUUUUGUCUGCAAAUGUUUGAUAGGUGACUAAAUGCAGGCUUCAAGACUUGGCAUUUCUGCCUCCAUUUUGCAUCUGUCUCCUUUGCUCUGAGUCACCUUAAAUUCCAGGAACCACCGGGUUGAAUAAUAAACAUCUUGAGAUGAGUGGAAGCUACCUCCAGACAACAGCAACUUCCUUAUCCUGGGCAAAGCCCUGCCUGAACAAUCCUGAGUUAAUGAUGGACCAGGCCAAGCCAACCCAAGAUUACCUGUUUUGCAGCUAUGAAAGACUUCCGGCUUUGGAAGCCCCAAACCCUCACACUCGUUCCCCUGUCUAUCAAACCUCAAAGUCAUUGUCAAUUCCUGGAAGGAAGGGUUGAGGACUUGGGCCCUCUUGUCUUCCUAGUGUAGCCACACUGAUUAAAGUUCCUUUCAUAUUUUUUUUCACCAUUAAACUCUUAUGGAAGUAGCAUGAGAUGAGUAAAAUAUUUUUAUUAAACAAUUUAAUUUGCCACAGAAUUAUGUUUUUAAAAUGAGUUCUCGGGCUCACUUUGGCAGCACAUAUACUAAAGUUGGAACCAUACAGAGAAUAUUAGCAGGUCCCUAUGCAAGGAUGAUACACAAAUUGGAGAAGCGAUCCGUAUUUUUUCAGAGAGAACUAUAAUAAAAACCUAAAAGGUUAAAAAAAAUCAGUUUUCACGUAUUAAUCAAUUGUGACCCUCAAUUCUUUCAUUUUUAAUUUGAAUAUGUCGAGCAAUUCAUCACCAUGCAUUUGCCUGGUCAGCUGAUGAUUUUGCAUUUUACUUCUUUAUUAAGGGUUUGGAACUCAUAAAAUAAUUCAUAUUUCUGUAUGAAUAGACCAAAGUUCAUUGGUUAUUGCAGCAGGAUGGCAGGCAUGGCCUGGGUCAGAGGUUCUCCGGGUAGAUGGCAGGCAGAACCAUUCUUAUUCUUUAAAUCCUUCCUUCCACAAUUCAUAACACUGACUUUGUCUACCUACCAAGCCUCCCCAUUGCACUGAGGAAUGCGCUGAGCAGUCAGGUGUGCUGGACGGGCACAGGGGCUCUUAGGGGAUACUGUGGUAUGCAGCCCAGACCCCGCCUCCCCCAUCCAACUUCACGGCUGAAGCAUUUAUUCCCCCAGUGACUGGGAACUUUGGUUGCCAACAGCUUUCAGCUGAGUCUCUCUUGGGGCCUUGCCUUUGGCUGCAGAGAGCAGCCUGGUUCAAGUUCAUACCCCUUUCCUGGGACAGACUGCAUCCAAUGACUGUGAGGGACGGGGCGCCUCCUUGCCAUUCUGGGUCCAUGUGCCCCUGGCAUCAACUGAGGCCUCUGUUGAGGCUGCACUUUCAACCUUUCCCUCCCACAGACGACCUGGACAGCACUCUGCAAUACACUUCCCACAGCAAAUCUCCACCCUGGAGUCUGAUUUCUGGGGAGCUCCACCUGCAACAGUCUCCGAAGUCGGGCAGAACAGUUUGAGUCUUAUUUAGUCACUGACUAGCUGAGUUCCUUAGAUAUAAUAAGUCUACUAUAAGCCUUUGAGAGCCUCAGGUAUUUAAUAUCUAAAGAUGCAACAAUAAUGGUAAUCCGUCUCUUGCAGUUACUAUGAGAAUGAAGAUACAUCUAAAGCAUUUAGCACAUUUAGGUUCACUUGAAACCAGACUAAUAUGUCAUAGUCAUGUUUUAUUAAAAAUAAUAAUGUUAGUACAAUAACUUGGAGGUCCAGUGCAGAGGAGACUGGGGUAGGGGAUUUUGUUGAAAUUGAUUCUCUUCUUUUCUCUUUUUAGGGGCUUGGUGAAGAGGGGUACCAGAGAUUGAACCCAGGUGUGCUUAACCACUGAGCCACAUCCCAACCCUUUUUAAAUUUUUUAUUUUAAGACAGGGUCUCUCUAUGUUGCUGAGGCUGGCUUUGAGCUUGGGAUCCUCCUGCCUCAGCCUUCUACUUGCUGGGAUCUCUUCCUUUUGACUCAGUUCCUGGUCUGCAUUUUCAGAAGCCCUUAGGCUGGAGCUGCAGAAACGGACCUGUUAUUCUAACUUGUUUCCAGAAGGUGGCGCCAGUGGACAACACUGCAGUUCUGCCUCUGCUCAGUAACAAUUUUUGGUCAGUUUCAGGCGCAUUAACCAUUCGCCAAGCGCUGACUAUUCCAUCAUUUUACUCUUCCAUCCCUUCCUCAACAAAUACUUUACUAAGCACUUAACUCCAGCCACAGAGCAGCUUCAAAUCCCUUCUAAAAUGUGAUGGUGACCAAGGAACAAAAGUAGGGAGCAAACAAACAAACAAAAAAUUCCAAGUUCCUGCUGGGGAGCUGGACUUUUGAGAGAUGAAUAAGAGGUUUUAGCCACCGAUUUAUUCUGGUUCUGCAUUGGUGCCAGCUCACGCUCUCAAAAGCGAAAGGGGCUUAAUUUGAGUGAAACUGAGUCAGGAAGAAAAUGGUCUGUCUGCAGGAGCCGCUGAAGUGCAUCCCAGAGGCCACCCGCAGCCCUCUCCAGGGCUAUUGAUCUGAGAGCAGGCAACUGGUUCCUAGACUGGUUAAAAUUCCCGAGCAGGAGGAAGAAGAAGAAAAAAAUCCAUAAAAGGAAAUGGGAGAAGGUGUUGAAGGGCUGGGGGGGAGGGGUGAGCUGGCCUGAAUUAGGAGCUCCAGUCAGAGGUGACUUUGCAGGCCCUUGGGCAUCACACACAGGCCAGCAAGCAAACCUGGACAUCAGGAGACCAGGGCCUGGCAGUCUAUAUCUAUUACUAGGAUAGAGUGUCCCCCCUCAGCCUUCUUACACCCGCCCCAGAACUGUGGGGGAUGAGCCCACCUGAAGGUGACCUCAGCAAAGCAAUUUUAGGGGUGUCAAGAAGGGCUCCUUAGGCUGGAGAUAGAGCUCAGUGGGUAGAGUGCUUGCCUUGCAUGCACAAGGCCCUGGGUUCAAUCCUCAGCAGCACACACACAAAAAAAAAGGCGGGGGGGGGCUCCUUCUAUGAAUAAGAUCUCUUGACAAUCACUCUUUGGGACCCCAAAUUAGUGUCCUUUAAAAUACUUAUUAUGAAGCUGGGCAAGGUGGUGCAUGCCUGCAAUACUAGGAGCUUGCGAGGCUGAGGCAGGAGGAUUGCAAGUUCAAAGUCAGCCUCAGCCACUUAGUGAGGCCUUAUGCAACUUAGUGAGGCCUUGUCUCAAAAUAAAAAAUAAAAAGGGCUGGGGGGUGGCUCAGUGGUUGAAAGCCCUGGGUUCAAUCCUGGUAUUAAAAACAACGAUGCAUAUUACAUCAGUGAACGGAAAAUGACAUCAGAGUUAAAGGAGAUUUAAAAAAAAUUGUAAGAAGUAAGAGCAGAAUUUCUCUAUGGUGUGUGUGUGUGUGUGUGUGUGUGUGUGUGUGAUUGUAUUGGCUUGGAGAAAAGUCUUCAAAAACACACUCAGUUGUUAACUGGAUUAUUUGAGCCAGAAGGUGAGGAGUAUGUGAGGGAGGUUCGUGGAGGGUGGCAAAGGAUAAUGAAAGGGCCAAGGGGAAAAAAUCACAUUAGGAAAGGGCAUCUGUGAUUGAAAGAUGUUACUGUGUGUUUUGAUUUAUGUAAAUGUUGCUUCUGUUGCCCAUGUGCAUAGACAUGCAUGAAAGAUGCCCACGAAAUGUUAACCAACAGCACUCGUCAUAUGGUGAUGAGAUUUCAAAGGAUUUUUCUUUUUCCUUAUAACUCUAUAAAUUUUAAAUUCUUUCAUAGCAUUUAAAUCAGGGAAGUAGGGGAAGAAAAUAAAAUCUAGAAAAAUUUUGCAAACCAAAUGGGAAAAGCAAUAAGAAAGCUGAGCUAUCCACGUCUGAGGGCCUUCAAAUUCUAACUUCUCAUUCCCUAACUGUGUGACCCUGAGCAGAUUACCCAGCCUCUCUGAGCCUGAUUUGCCUCCUCUUUAGAAGUAGGAUGUAGGACAUACCUUUUGUUUUUGCCUGCCCGGUAUUUCCUUCUGAUUUCCUGUGGAGAACUGCUCCAUCCCUUUGCACGAGACCCCACCUUGAGUACCAUGUGGAUCUGUGACUGAGGCCUAGCCAAUUCAUUGAGUCCACUGCACAGAUGUCCAUAAUUUGACCUGGGUCAGCAGGAGUUAAGUCUAAGACUUUUCCUGAAACUAUAUGGUAAGAGCAGUGUCUUUCUCUGUGAGGGUUCAGAGCUGCUGCAUAUAUAAGCCUGGAGCUUCUGGUGGUCAUCUUGCCUAUAUGAGCAAGGAGUGUGGCUAAAAGUGGAGCCAGUACACAGGAGAGGAGAGAUGAGGAAAAUGGAGCAGCCCACUGACGUCACUUAAGGACCUAGAUCCAACUGUGCCUGAAGCUGGAGAACACUUCCAGGGGGAACAUAGCAUACUGGUUGAAAUGUAAAUGCUAGGAGACAGACUGGUCAGGUUGAAAUCCCAAGUUUGCCACAGCAAUCAAUAAACACAGAAACACAACUGAAAGAGUAGGGCAGAAAGGAAUUUGUUUAAAGGAUGUGGAAUAGACAGGCUGAGCAGUCAGAAAUGGUGUCCAGAGCUGGGCGUGGUGGUGCACACCUGUCUUCAGCAACUUAGUGAGGCCCUAAGCAACUUAGCAAGACUCUGUCUCAAAAAUAAAAAAAUAAAAAGGGGAUGUGUCUCAGUGGUUAGGUGCCCCUGGAUUCAACCCCUGGUACCAAAACAAACACACACACAAAAACAAAACAAAACAAAAUCCCAAAAAACUUAGAAAAAAAAGAAUGAAACGGUCCACAUUUCCAUGAACGCAGCUGAAUCGGCUUGGGAACAUUGCUGACCCCGAUUCCAGAUACGCAGUGCUGCCUGUCACCCCACUGCCACUGUUGUCACCGGAAGUUGGCGGUGCUGGCCCACCAAGCCUGCCAGAGAACAUUCCCCCGUUAGUUUUCAAUCCCAGCCCGAGGCAGAUGCGCCCGGUGGGCAGAGCUGAGUCACAUGCUCACGUCCUGGCUGCGGGAGGCUGGGGGCGAACCUGUGGGGCAUUGUCCUCCUCCCCUGUGGGCAUGGCUCUCCAGGAAGUCUCAGGAAGGAGAUCAUUCCCUUCAACGCAGGGAGUGGGUGCAGAAGCUGGGAAGUAAGAGAGAGAGAUGGCUUCGCUGAUGAUCACAGUAAAAUGGUGGAAAUCUCAGGACUCGAAUGUCCCCAGCAGCAAAAUGGAAAUUAUUAGUUCUUUCCUCAAAAUAUCAUCUAGAGGACUGAAGGAGUUCAUACAGGUAAAAUUCUUAGAACUACGUGGCUACCGAAUGGUUUAAUGAAUGCUAGAUCUGACUUUUCAGUUAGCGAAUUUUGCCUGGAGUCACUUAAAAAUCAGCUGCUGUGCUGUUUUGGUUUAUCCUGUAUGCCUUCGGAUGGACAGUCCUGCCUUCAGUGAGGACUGCCGAUACUCCAUGGGGUGGCUGUAAAGCUUGAACGCAUAAAUAACAUAAAGUUCCUGGCACGGGGACACCCUUGAUCAAUGAUAACUACUUAUUUCUAAUAUUAAUACCAAUACCACCAAUAAACAGGUCUUCACUAUCUUUUGUAAACGCUAAGAGCAAGGUUUGGUCAGAACUUGAAAUCACAUCCAGGGAGUGGUUUGAUGGAGGGCUACACUGAGGAUGAAAAAUGGGUACAAAGUUGGUAAAAAUUAAAAAAAAAAGUUUUGAGCUGCUGGAGAUCAAACCCCAGGCUUCACAUAGGCUGGGCAAGUGCUAUAUCUCUGAGCUAAGCCCAGUAGCACUUGUUGAGUGGACAUUUCUUCUCCUUUAUCUAUAGGAGAUGAAAGAUUUGUAAAGAGCUCAUUUUGCAGUAAGAAGAGUUGCGCUCAUUCUCCCAACAGGCCUGGUGCUGGCUGUGGAGCCACAGAGGUGAACAAGGUGCUCCAUACCUGUCUUCAGGUGUUCCCGGCCUGGGGGAGGGUGAAAGCUCAGGUGGAGUCUGGGAAUGUAAAGGAGGGAAAUACGCAGGUGUGAGGGAGGAGCAUGGGUAGAAGAAAUAUUCCACCUUCUUCUUUGAUCCACUCGAAGAAAAAUGAUACUGCAAGGGCGCUGGCAAAUGGCUCCCUCUGGCCUUCAAAAAGCACCGGAGGACUAUGGAUAAAUGGAGACGGAAUCCUCUAUCGGAAGGGGACUGCGGCUCUGAGGGAGGAGAAGUGGAUCCAGGUUACCUGGUUUCCGGUGUGUCAAGAGAAGCCAGAAAUCAUGAUUUCUUGAUUUUUAGUUGACAGUGAUGAAUGCAAAUAUUUCAAAAGACCGCAUGCGCCUAAAUGGUACAGGCCAAGAAAAGCACUAUUUGGUCCGAAUUCCAGACCUGAGGCUGAGGGUCCAGGACAUGACCUCCAGUCCACUAGGAGAGACAGGUAGGCAGGGGCGAUUUUGACACCUUGAUAAGUGCAGAGGCGGAAAGACGUGGUGGCUGCAGGGCAGGAGUCCUAGGGGAGGACUGAAGCAGGUCAGCAAGGGAGCAGCGGGUGGGGGGACCAGCCGGCAAAGCUCAGGUGGGUGAGAGGAAGGAGGAGCUGAGGCUGGGGAGAGGACAGGGCUGGACAGACAGUGGCCUGGGCCACAUUGUCAGUCUGUUCAAUGACUUCUUAAUUUUCCUGAUUAUAAUUUCUGCUGGUUUUGAUAGAAAAACAGAGUUGGUUUCUGUGCCCCCCCCCCCCCAAACAACCACUUCCUGUAAUAAAAAGGAGCCCUUUCAGAUAUCAAAGUCGGCCAAGCUCCUUCCGGCUCCCUCUCCCUCACCUGCACCCUCAGCUGGGUCACAUUCUCUCCCCCAGGAUAUCACAGAAAGCACAUGCUCCUGACCUCUGUCUGAACACCCUGGACUUGCCAGCACAGAGAGAAACCAUUUGCACAGGAGGGAACGUUUCAGUUCUUCCCGGCCCACUCUCUUUUCACUCUGUCCCGAGCCAAAAGCAGUUGAUGAUUCAGAGAGCGCAGGGGUGGCCAGCAGGGCCCUGGGCGGCAACCAGGAGCCAGUUCCAGUCCUGGUCUUGCAGAUGGAUUCCUCCUGUAGCCCAGGACCAGACUGGGCCACACAGGCUCAGCUGUGGCAUAAGCACUAGGUCAGAUGGUCUCUGAGAAUCUAAGGUCGCUGCCUCUCCAUCAGGACUCUCAGGGCCCAAAUCUGUCGCACACAGAGUGGACCUGACAUCGGCUUGGGUGUCGUCCAUCUAGCCAGCGUGUGCCUUGUGCCAGGCGCUCUGCCAGGCUCCCGCCAUAUGGGAGGGAGGUGGACAGUUCACCCACUUGGUGGACGAGGAAACUGAAGCUCAGGUAAUUGAAGUGAUGACCACUUGCCCAGAGUGGCCAGGCUUGCAGGUGGGACCUCAAAGGAUACAUUAGUUGAAACAAUGGUUAAACAUUUCACUAAAGUAGCACACAAACAUCAUAACAUAUAAAACAGCACAGAGGGGUUUACCAGGAAAAACCAACUCCCCGGAUUCCUCAAGUCACCUCCCUUAAUAAUUUUGAUUAUUUUUUUCUUUGAUAGGAACAAUAGUGCCAAUAGUGUGAAAGUCUGUGCCCCUCACGUUCAUAUGUUGAAAUCCCCCAAGGCCGUGGUGUUUAGGGGACGGGCCCUUUGGGAAGUGAUUGGGCCAUGAAAGUGGAGCCCUUGUUGUAGCAGGAAAUGAGGGUGAGGACACCCAGAUCUGGAAGCAACACUUUAUUGGAGGUGCCACAACCCAGAGGGAUAAUUCCCAAAAUCUGAGCCCCGAACACAGCAGAGCUUUUGCUUUUAUACAUAAGUGAGUUUUGGGCACAUCGAGGCAAGGGAGUUGGUGCAAUUCUAUUAAGGGGGUGCAUUCUACAUCCCUUACGUGGGUGCAAGCUUGUCAAGAGCCUAGGGACUCUUAGCUCAUACAGCUUAGGGGCUAAGCCUAAAGGGGAUUGUUCUGUCCCUGGCUUUGUCUCCUUCUUCUGCUACUGUGGUCAUCUCCUAUGGUACCUGUGAGUCGCCGUAAGCCUCUAGGGUUAAAUGUCAACCAGCAGAGCUGCUGUGUGUCGGCAUGCAAAAACACAGCCUGUCAGCUCUUAAACCGCUAAAGUUCCCAUUUUGCGCUAACCCAUUGUGAGUGGGAUCAGGCCCUUCAGGGCCUUCAGAGAUCAGGGGCUCUUGCCCUUGAUCGCCUUGCCCUUCCACCACGUGAGGAUACAGGCAAAGGUGGCAUCUAUGUACUAGAAAGUGGGCCUUCACCAGACACCAGCUCUGCUGGCACCCUGAUCUGGGACUUUCCGUCUCCAGAACUGUAAGAAACACAUUUCUGUUGUUUAUACCCAGCUUGUGGUAUUUUGUUACAGCAGCCUGAACAGACUAAGACAAACAGCUGGGCACUCUGACUACCUGCUGUGACAUUUACUUACACUCUUUGCUUCCUCCAUCUCCAACUGUUUAGUAUUUACAUACUUAUUUGUUGUUCCCUUGAUCUCAUAAAUUCAGUAAACAUAAACUCUAAUUUCUUAUGCUACUGCAUGGGCAAUGUCUGCGGACAUCUCAUUUUCUAAGAUGUGGGUAUGCAUAGUGUUACUUUUCUCUCCAUCUUUUCUACCCUCUUCUAUUCUCUACCUUUCAACAGCCUCACUUAUAUAUUUUUUAAUUGUCAUUUUUUUUAAGAAUGUGGUAAAUAUUUCAAUGCUUCCCUCCUGUUUAAUUUUCCUCUCCUUUUGGAUGAAUGGAGGAUUGCAUUUCCCUACCUUUUUAAACUGAGGAUAGCCAUGUGUCUAAUUCUGGCCAAUGGACAUGGAGGAAGGGAUCUGUGUGACUUCUGGGCUGUAGCAUUUAAUGGCAGGUGUGAGCCCCAUACACUCAUACAGUACCUGCAAGCAUCGCAUAUGGUGGCACCUCUGUCAGCCUGGGUCCCAGAACAGCAGAGCCCCCACCAAUGUUCCUCAACAUGUAGUAAGUGGGAGACGUACAUCUUUGUGGUCUGAAGACUCUGAGAGUUUGAGUUACUUAUCACGGCAGCCAAUUAUAUUCUGAUGGAUGCAUUUCCCAUUAUACGCUGUCCUGCAACUACAACUAAUACUUUCAUGUGUUAUCCUUACUUUAAAAUAAAAUCAACAGAUUAUUUUAAAAGACAUCCUUCCUCUGUCCUGGGAACUCUGCAAAUGUCUUUAUUUUACCUUCACCCUUAUAUUUGUCUGGGAAUAGAAUUGUAGGAUAAAAAUCUCUUUCAGAGCUUUCAAAAUAGUGCACUAAUGGUGUCUGACUUUUGACUUCUGAUGAGAAACCUGAUGCUGAUCUGAUUCUUUUUCCUUUAUAAAUGAAUCUUUUUUAAAUCUAUGGAAAAUGACAUCAAAGUCUCCUAACUCGUUUUCUUUUGUUUUAUCUCUUUGUUUUUUUCCACUUUCUUUUUGUUCUGUAUUGGGAGGACUUUUUUCAACUUUUCAGCCAUUUCUUAAAGUUUGCAUUUUAGCAGUAUCUCUUAUUUGGAGAAUUUUAAUGCAUAUUCUAUGUAAAGUAUAGUAGAGAGAAAUGCAUAGGUCACAAGCACACAAAGGGGUGAAUUAUCGCAAAGUGAACACACACAGAUCACCUCCCGCCAAGUGAAGAAGUCCUUUACUAUCAGGAUCCAGUCGCCCUGGGCUCCCUUCUGUUCACUUCCCAUCCUUUCUCCCAAAGGUUACUCUUAUUCUGUUCGAACACUGCCAAUUAGCUCCACGUUUCUUUAAAACUUGGCAUAAAUGGAAUCCUAGAGCAAGUCAUGUAUGCUCUUGAGGGCCCAGUUUCUUCAGCUGACGAUUGGCAGUAAAAAUAUAACAGAGUUCAUGGCAGAUUGUAGGUGCUCAGUGCAUGUUUGUUAAAUCUGUUCAGCUCAUAGUACCUUCAAACAGCUUUCAUCAUUUUUCUUAACCUUUGGUGGAUUGAUGGCAUAAAAAUGGGCACUAGAGUACUUAACCAGAGAACCUAUAAUUGUAGGAACUGAUGUGGGGCAGACUGGAAGGUGGAAAGUCGUGAAGUAGGAGGGGACACAUUCGUUGUCUUAGUUCAAGUGGCAGUGACAAAAUUCUGUGUUUUUUUGUGGCUUAACAGCUUUUCACAGUUCUGAAGGCUGAAGUCUAAGAUUAGGGGCCAGGAUGGUUGCUUCUUGCCAUCUUUUGUCUGCUUCCUCACAGAGCAAGGAGAGAAAAAGAAUCUGUCGUCUGCCUCUUCCUACAAGGGCAUCAAUCCCAUCACGAGGGCUCCAUUCUUGUAAUUUAAUUACCUCUAGAGGUCCCGUCUCCAUCACACUGGGACUUGGGGCUUCCAGAGAUGAAUUUGGAGGGGGGCAGAAUUCAACCCGUAGCACCAGACACUGUGUAAGUUUUGUGCUGUGGGGUGCUGGAUUCUGUUGUGUUCUUUUACACAGCAUUGGCUUGGUUGGGUACAUAGUUAAAUUACUUGGGAUCAUCUGGGCCUGCUUCAGGAUUUCUUUUAAGUUUUUUAAAGGCAGAUUCAGAAUAGCCUUUAAUCUAAGCCUAAUUUAGCUUCAUUACUAAGGCAAGACCCCUUACGGGGACUUUCCUUGAUGCCUACUGUACUAAGAAGGGUUUCCAUUUUGCCCUGAUGGAAUCGUAGACUUUCCUUGAUCCUGAAUGAGCUCUAGAAUUUUCUAGCCUAUUCCUUCCCAGAAGUCUCCCCCUUGGCCUUGAGUGGUUUGUUUGUUUGUUUUUCUCAGGUUGUGCAGAUCAUGACUCAGCCACAGACUCCCCAGGACCCCUAGGAGGUCUUUGAAGUUGAGAACUCCCAACCCUCCCCUCCAGUACUCCUUUGGUAAAUUUCAGCCACCCUGGCUUCCCUGGGCUCUGUUUGGGUUUCCCUUUCCUGAGCUACAUCCUGAAAAUCGUCUCCAUGCACUAAGGGGUCAUCAUAAGGCUUAUAUUGCUGUUUCCUUUCUCUCAAGGACCAUAAUUCUGCAUUGCCUAUUGUCCAAUACAGUCCCGUGAGGCUUAAUGACAGGAACAGGUUCUGAGGAUGUAUCAUUUGGCAAUUUUGUUGUGACAACAUCAUAGAAUACACUUAAGCACAACUAAGAUGGCUACAACGUCACUAGGUGACAUAAUCUCAUGGGACCGCUGUUGUAUAUGUGGCCCAUUGUUAGCUGAAACCUUCUGCAGCCUAUGAUUGCACUUGAAAAUCCUUAUUUUAUAUAAUUUCGCCUAUUUUCCUAAUUGUCUAAGAAAGGUUAAAUCCAGCCUCUAUUAGUCUGACGUGACUGGAAGAAAAAGUCUUUGCCCAACACUUUGAAAAAAGAAUUACCCAUAUGGAAAAUCUGAAAGCCUGGAAACCACCGUUCUGGACGUAACUUUCUUUAAAACGGCACCAAAACCAAUUUAUAAUGGGUGAUCUGACCAAUCCAGAUCAAAACUGUCGAAUUUAUCCUCAAAACUGGAGUAAAGAUGGGGCCGGGGCCGGGAGGAGAAAGAGGAGAAAUGAGAUACAAGAGACUUUGUUCUUGCUGUGGUUAGAGUGGAUGUGUCCCCUCAAAGUCCAUGUUGGGACCUAGGACCCAACAUGGCAGAACUAAGAGGCUGGCCCUUUUAGGAGGGUUAAGCACAGCCCCUGGGAAUGGGAUUAGUACAUUGAAAAAAGGGCCUGAGGAAACUUCCAUUUCUUAUGCUAAAUGGGGACACAGUGUUUAUCCUUUUGGUCACCUCACCACCAGCCUCAGCAAGAAGGUGCCAUCUGGAAACAGAGCAGCCCUCACCAGACACCAAAUCUGUUAGCACCUUGAUCUUGAACUCCUCAUCUCCAGAACUGUGAGAAAAUAAAUAUUUCUGUUCUUUAAAAAUUGCCUUGUCUUGGGCAUUUUGUUACAGCAGUGCAAAGGAACUAAGACAUUCCCCAACAAGAAAUGCAUCCACCCUGACUUGGAGGCAGCACACUGUUGAGGGCACAGGUUCAGGAGCUGACUGCCUGGGUUUGAGUCCCAGCCCUGCCACUUACAAGCUCACCUUGAGCUGGCUGCUUAAUUGCUCUGUGCCUCAGUUUCCUCAUCUGUAGGCUGAGUUAGUGACAAUAUUCUCAUCUACCUUAUAGAGUUGGUUGUUAAUGAAGGUGAAAUAAAUUAAUGUUCCUAAAAUACUAAGGAUGGUCAAUGAUACAUUGUAUUUUGUAAGUGUCUGAACUCGUUUUUCUUAUUAAAGAAGUAAUGCACAGGGCUGGGGUUGUGGGCUCAGCAGCAGAGCACUCACUUAGCAUGUGCGAGGCCCUGGGUUCAAUCCUCAGCACCACAUAAAAUAAAUAAAUAAAAUAAAGGUAAUGUGUCCAACUACAACUAAAAGAUAUAUAUAUAUAUAUAUAUAUAUAUAUAUAUUUUUUUUUUUUUUUUUUUUUAAAGAAGUAAUGCACAUUUACUGUAGAUAGAGACGUUCACCAGGGUAGAGGGGUGAGGCCUGCUAGGGCCGCCUGAUUGUUUCCCAGGACACCUUUCAGGUUGGACUUCCUUACUACAGUGUACUUCCUCAAGCCCAGCUCUAGUCCUGCAGGCAUGGGAGAAACAAAGCUUGCAGAUCUGGUUGGGUCAGAUCUACCAAAGACAGCUUACACCUUGAAGUACCAACCACUGUGAGGUCCCCGCAUGACUGUGUAUUCAGAAAUGCUCUCAGCCCAGAGGAAAAUUUGCACAUUAUUGGACAAAAAUAACAACACAAAACUGGUUAGUCUCUGCUUUUUUACAACUUAAAUGAAAAAUUUUCUUUAACAAACAUAUUUUAUAAUUUAAACUGUUACAAGUCUUAUGCUUUAAAGAUGACAUAUACAUAUGUAUAAAACCUGUGUAGUCUCAUAGUUAUAUCUCUUAGAAAGCCAAAUGUCUUCUCAUUACAUGUUAUUAAACAUGGGGAAGGCAUCACUAGUUAUAAUAAUCAGGAAAAAAAUAUGCAUUUUUUUGUUUCUUAUUUUUGAAAAGUUAUCAUCAAAUACACAUAGAUUUUAACCGUCUUCGCUGAUCUUAUUUUUUUAUUUCUUAGAUUCAUUUAUUUAUUUUGGUAUUGGGGAUUAAACCCAGGAGCACUUGACCACUGAGCCUCAUCCCCAGCUCUUUUUAAUAUUUUAUUUAGAGACAGAGUCUCACUGAGUUGCUUAAGGCCUGUUAAGUUGCUGAGGCUGGCUCUGAACUCGCUAUCCUCCUCCUCAGCCUCGUGAGCUGCUGGGAUUACAGGCCUGCGCCACAGCGCCUGGCCAUCUUUGUUUUUAAAUGAAAAGUUCAGUGGUGUUGAGUACUUUCAAACUGUUGUCCUACCAUCAUCACCAUUCACUCAAAGACCUGUUUUCUUGUGAAACUGAAAUCCUCUUCCUAUUAGAUAAUCCCUGCCUGUCGCCCCUCUUCCCAUGUGACUCUUCUAUGUACCCCACAUACAUGGAGUCUUGAGGUCUUGGUCUGCUUGCGAGCAGCUUAUCUCACUCAGCGUGGUGUCCUCGGGCUCACUCCUGCUGUGCCACUGUAAAGUUUCUGCCCUUCUAAAGGCUGAGUGGGGUUCCACAGUGGGUACAGGUCUCUCUCUUCAUUCAUUCACCCCUCCACGGACACUUGGGCUGCUUCCACUUUGGGCUAUUGUGACUAAUGCUGCUGGGAACUCAGAUACACACAUCUCUCUUCAAAACUCUGUUUGUAAUUCUUUUGAGAAACAGACCCAGAAGUGGAAUGGCUGGAUUACAUGGUAAUUCUACCUUUAAAUUUUCGAGGAGCUGCCACUCUGUUUUCCACAGGGGCUGGAUCAUUUUACAUUUCCAACAAAGUGCCCCAGGGCUCCAACUUUUCUGUAUUCUCAGCCACACGUUAUUUAUUUAUUUAGGUUUUUGUAAUGGUUAUCCUAAUAAGUGUGAGUUGAGAGCUCAUUGUGCUUUUGAUUUGCAUUUCUUUAAUAAACUGGCCUCUUUUUCUGAGUUAAGAAAUAGCUUUACAUGGCAAAGUGCCAUAUCUUGUAACUACAUCUAAAUGAAACUGUUCACAUGUGUGUACCUGUGAUUCUACGGCCAGAUCAGGCUAAGAAGUAUUCCCAGUACCCCAAGAGCUUUCUCAUGCCCCUUCCAAGUCAGUGACACCCCCCCCCCCCCAGGUAACCACUCCUCAGGACAUGGAUAGUUUUAAUCUCCUCUCUGGCUUUUGCUCCAUCAGACCAGUCCUCAACAAUGCUCUUGUCGUAUUGUCCUUUGACGGUCAUGGCAAUGUUGACAUUCUGCAUAACCUUCUCCUCCUUAUCUUGCUGAGGGUGAUUUCAACACAGCAUUCAAAAUUCUCCAAGUAUUGAUAUCCUUUGCAUCACUUCCCCUCUCUUCACGAGAAUUCUUAUCAAAUUCAGUUGUGACUUACACUUCUGUCACCAAGAUUUGUUUGAUUCUACACAGACUUAGAAGCUGAUGUCUUCUCUCAGAGGUGGGAUCACAUUUAUCAAAAUGUGAUCCUGGGACAAAAAUGGAAAGUCAGAAUGUCAAUGUGUUCGAUGAUAACAAAAUAUAUAUAUGAUUGUUAAGUAAACUGGAAUAGCCUCAUCUGCAUGAGCUGCACAUUCUUUCCUGAAAGCAGAUCUAAACGAAAAGUCGAUUUUACAUUGAAGGUGGCUUGGUGAGCACUUGCUCUCCCAGCGCUGUCCGCUAAGUCUAGUAGUUGUCAAGGAUUGUGCUGGGUGCUCAGUGGAGAAGGGUGAAGAGGAAAGAUGGGACUCUAUGCCCAUAGAUUCUAAAGUGCAGAGGGGAAGCCAGGCCCUGAACAGAUGAUCAGACUUCCAGCUUAGAAAAAAACAUCUAAAAUGCACAUCUUAGCCUCUGCUUUCUUUCUGCACUUACUAAAAUAACAUACAGAACAUACAGCUACUCUUUUUUUGAGGGGGUACCAGGGACUGAACCCAGGGGCACUCUACCACUCUACACACCCCCAGCCCUAUUUUGUAUUUUAUUUAGAGACAGGGUCUCAGUGAGUUGCUUAUCACCUCGCCACGGCUGAGGCUGGCUUUGAAAUUGCGGUCCUCCUGUUUCGGACUCCUGAGCCGCUGGGAUUACAGGUGUGUAACACCGCGCCUGGCUCAGGGAUUCCUUAAAAUGGCAAUUCACCAAGACAGGGGUCAGCAAACUACGGUCCAUAGACUCGAUUAAGUCUCUUGCCUAUUUACAUGCAGUCUAUAAGCUAAGGACAGUCUUAUACUCUUAAAUGGUUGUAAAAAAAUUCAAAAGGAGAAUAUUUUAUGAUGUGAAAAUUUCUAUGUACAUAAAUAAACUUUUAUUGGAACAUGGCCACAUAUUCCAACUUGUGUUCCUGAAUUCCAUGCUACAGUGACAGAGUUGAGUAGAUGUGGUGCAGACCAUCUAGCAUGAAAAGCCCCCCAAAAUUGACUCUGUCCCUUCACGGAAAAUAAUUUGCCAAUCCCUGCUCUAGAAAGUCCAAUAGGACUUUCUGCAAUGAUGAAAAUACAGCAGCCAGCCUCAGCUGACGGGUGGCCAUUGAGCACUGGAAAUGUGACUAGUGCAACUGAGGAGCCCAAAGCUUAUUCUAUUUAAAUUUCAGCAGCUACAUGUAGGUGGAGGCUGCCAUAUUGAUAGCCUACAGAGCAACUGACAGAAGGGGUGUAAAGGCAGCACAUGCUGCAAAAGGAGGGGGGAAGGCUCACAGGUGGAGGCUGAGAGGUCCCCGCAGCCUCAUCCUCUCAGGCUCUUUUCCAGCCUACAUUCCAAACGCUGGCCCUGAAAGGUCCCUGAAUGUUAGAGUCUGUAAACAAGUCUGGAUGGCGCCUGGCAAAAUGCCAGAGGGAGUGGUUUGUGAAGUAAUGCCAGCGAGCCAUUAAGUGUGGAGAUUCCUUAUUGGUUGACUGAUGUAUCUAGUUUAUGCUAAUUAGAUAAUCUGUGUGGAAUGUAUAAAUACUGCUCCUGUCCUGCAAUAAACGGCUCCUACUCCUGCUGUAUCAACGUACACAAGUCGUUCGUCACCCCCCGGUUAUUUUGCUGCAGCCGGACUGCGGCACCUGAACAGAUACUGAGACUUCUGGGGAGGGAGAGAGCAACUGCAUAGGGUUAUACUUUCCCAGGGAGGAUUAUGCUCUCCUAAAAAGGGUACAGAGAGAGCUGGGCUUGUGGCUCAGUGAUAGAACAUUUGCCUAGCACAUGUGAGGCCCUGGAUUUGAUCCUCAGCACCACAUAAAAAUAAUAAAAUAAUAAAGGAAUUGUGUCCCUCUUCAACUAAAAAAAAAUGUCCAGAGAGUCUUCUGGAGAAUUUAACCAGAUCAGAAGGAAGACUUAAAGAUCCUGGUACUGGGAGUUCCUAAUGCAUAGGCACCCAAAGUUCAUGAUCAAUAAGCCCUCCGCAUAUGCUCCAAGAGCAUUGGUCUACAUGCCGUCCUUCAGUAUGAACAGGUAAACAAGAUUCAUCAUACACCUGGGGAAAUCCUGGAAUAAGUGAGGAAAAAAACCAAACAGAUAAAUAGACUUAGGCAAAGAUCCAUGGAAACACAUAUUAAAUUAAGAGGUUCAUGAAGCUGGAUGGGAAAUACAGUCUUUAUUUUCAGAAAGUUCAUCUGAAACGUAGCAUUUCCUUUGAUCAUGAGUAAUAGAAGUAAUUAAGUACCUGCAACUUCAUCACCAAUAGAAAUCACGUGUUUUUCUAUCACAUUGCUUUUGUGGAAUUUAUUUCAAGAUAUGACAUUUAUGCUCUUUAUGACUCUGAAAUUAUGAUUCUUAACAAACAUGCUGCUAAAUCUUAUAAUAUAGAAGCAUUGGGGCUGGAAUAUGUUACUCUAUGACAGAUUUCUUAAAUAUUUUGAUAACUGCAUUUCAGUAUACACAGAUUCCUCAACUUACAAUGGGGUUCUAUCAAAGUAGACCAAUUGUAAGUUGAAAUUAUCGUAAGUCAAAAAUUCAUAGUACAGUGCUUACCUAGCAUAUGUGAGGUACUGGGUUCAACUCUCAGCACCACAUAAAAAUGAAUAAAUAAAAUAAAAGGUAUUGUGUCCAUCUACAACUAAAUUUUUUUUAAAAAAUGCAUUUAAUGCACCUAACCUAUUGAACAUCAUAGCUUAGCGACGCAGUACACUGCAGAAGGACAGAUGCUUUCCUUUCUGAUCGGCUGGCUGCCUAAGAGCUGCAGUUUGUUGCUCUCGCCUAGCAUAGAGCGAGAAUAUCAUGCCACAUAACACUAACCUGGGAAAAGAUUAUAAUUCCAAUUAUGGCUUUUAUUGAAUGCUUAUUGUUUUCAUACCAUCAUAAAGUUAAAAAAUUUACAUAAUUUGGGGAAUAUCUAUAAAUUUUUAUAACCCUAUAUAUGGAGCUUUAUUCAUUUAAAAAUAUCAUGGUGGUGCAUACCUAUGAUACCAGUGACUUGGGAGGCUGAGGCAGGAGAGAUCACAAGUUCAAGGCCAGCCUCAGCAAUUUAGCGAGGCCCUAAGUAACACAGUGAGAUCCUGUCUCAAAAUAAAAAAUCAAAAGGGCUGGGGACUUAGCUCAGUGGUAAAGUACUUUUGGGUUCAAUCCCAAGAAUCAUUCAAUCAAUCAUCAAUAAACAAUAUUCUGAGAGCUGAGGGUGUGGCUCAAUGGUAGAGGGCUUGCUUAGCAUGUGCAAGGCCCUGGGUUCAAUCCCCAGCACCACACACAAAAGAAGUGCUGAAAAAGGAGUUCUUAGGCUCUACAAGAUUGCAAAGGAGUCCAUGGCUCAAGACAAGUUAAAAACAUCUGUAAUAAUACUCUUUUUUGGAGUUAGAAGUGGGUAGGGAAUGCAGACAAUAAUAAGCACUAUGUGCCAGAUUUCAAACCUCAUGAUUCUAAGAGGUAGCUAUUAUUUUGAUAGCUUUAAUUAGAUUUUUGAAAUGCUUGUUUUGUCCUGUCAGUAGGAUAUUUGGAAAGGGAAAAGAUGAAUAGAUGCACUUGAUAAGCCCUCUUGACCCCAAAGUCCAGCUUUCUUUUGCAGAAAUGGUACAUGGACAUUAGAAACCAGUUAGAAAGAUGCAAAAGGGACAAUAAAAAUGGCCCUCAAACUUGUUACCUCUCUGGUCAACAUCAUUCUGGCCGCUCUCUACGCACACCUCCAGAAAUCGACACACAUAAACUCAGACAUAGAUAAAUCGAUGUAUAAAGAUAUGUAGAUAAUUUUAAACAAAACAGGAUCAAAUCACACAUUUGUUAAGAUUUUUAAGACUUUGUCAUUAAACAAUUCAUUGUGUUUAUCUUCCAUAUCAAAAAUGGGAAUCAAGGGCAGUUAUCAUUCUCACGUACAAGUGAGGAAACCGAGAAUCAAAUAAUUAAAACCUGUUUAUGAUCAUACAUGGUGAGAGGAGAAGAAACCUCUUGGUCAUCCCAGAGCUACUUACUCUUCCAGUUCAUGGUCUCUGUGAGGGGCAAACCCGGGAGUUUAGUUGUACCAGAUAUUUACCUGCAAGCUUGUAGCCUUGAAGGGUUGAAGACUUCAGGGGAUUUUAGCUCAAGUGGGGGGAAGACUCUAUGCCAGGUGCCAACAGAGAUUUACAGCUAAAAAUCUUCCACUGAACUGUUAAACUCAGGGGCAGGAAUCUGGUGCCUCCUGGAUUCCUUGCUUUAUUUCUGUUUUGAUUCCUUUGUAAAGCAAAGGGGAGCCAUAAACUCAUUCCUCUGGUUAACCUCAAAUAAAACAACUCCACACCUGUAAUCUCAGCCACUUGGGAGGCUGAGGCAGGAGGAUCACAAGUUCAAAGCCAGCCUCAGCAAUUUAGUGAGUCCCUAAGCUACUUAGUGAGACCCUGUCUUAAAAUAAAAAAUAAAAAACUAAUUUUAAAAGUGGUGGUGGUGGGGGGCGGGCUGGGGAAAUGGCUCAGUGGUUAAGCACCCCUGGGUUUAAUCUUUGGUACUUAAAACAAAAACACCACUAGGUGUCUCCAUGGAACCCAUCACAGAGAUGCAGAGCCAUUCACUCGAGGUUGACCUUCCUCAUCCAGCUCAGCUCCCAGGAGCUGGAGGAAGUUGAGAGAGAGAAUUCAAACGCAAGUCCAGGGAAGGUGGACUCAGUGUGGUCAGACCCCGGGUUUGGUCAAUCUGCAGUUUCUCAAAAUCAGAUUGGCUACAGCAGAAUCACUUGAGGCUCUUGUUGAAAGGAGUGAUGCCAAGGUUUCACUCCAGAGCAGCAGGUGUCAACCUUUGCUUCACGUGAGAGUCCAGGGAAACUCGGCGCGGGGCUGGGGGUGUAGCUGAGCAGCAGAGCGCUGGCCUAGCAUGUGUGAGGCACUAGGUUGGAUCCUCAGAACCACAUAAAAAUAAGUAAAUAAAUAAAAUAAAGGUAUUAUGUUCAUCUACAACUAAGAACUAUUUUUUUUUUUUUAAAGUUCAAUGACUCCAGGAACAAAAUGACAAGUAGGCUUUUCAGGUUCCUCCACAAGAAACAUUAGAAACUGUCAGAACAAACUGUGUCAGAACUCUGGAAAACCAUCAAAGGUUUUAGCAACCAAGUGGAUUCUGAAUCAAGAAAAAGCAAGGCUGGGGUUAUAUCCAGUUGGUAGAGUGCCUUCCUAGCAUGCACAAGAGGCCCUGGGUUCAAUCCCCAGCACCAAAAAAAUAAAAUAAAAUAAAAAAGCAACUUAAAAGCAGCUCUGUGGGAAAUGAAGGCUAAGGUAGAGCUGUAAAUCAGCCCGGCCUCGUGUUGAAAGAGGACCUCAGCACAGAGCCAGUCUGCAAAGACUGAGGGAGGUGUGUUUGAUUUUGUCAUCUUUCAUUUGUUUUCAAGGAAAUCCCUAUCAAAAUACUAAUCAAACAUAAACUAAAGGAACAGAGAUUCAGUGACCACAUUUGACAAGGAAUACAGUCUUUUCCUAAAAUAGUUUAUAAGAGUCAUUAAGAAACAGAGGACUCGCUGGGCAUGGUGGUGCAUACCUGUAAUCCCAGUGGCUUGGAAGACCGAGGCGGUGGAUCACAGGUUUGAAGACAGUCUCAGCAACUUAGUGAAGCUAUAAGCAAUGUAGUGAGAUCCUGCCUCAAAAUACAAAAUUUAAAAAGGGCUGGGGAUAUAGCUUAGUGGUUAAGUGCUCUUGGGUCAAUCCCUGGUACCAAAAACUAAAACUAAAACAGAUCAUUACAACCUUCAAUAAUCAAAUUCAACAAACCCUGGAGAAGGGAGAGACUCUGAUCUUCAAAAUUAUCACAUUAUAAUAUACAAAUGUUCAAUUUUCAGGUCUGGGAGUAUAAGAUUACCAACUAUACAAACAAACAAACCAACCAACCACACACACACACACACACACACACACAAAGAGAAAAGUGUGUUCCAUGCAUGCCUGUAAUCCCAGUGAUAGACCCAACCUGAUCUUUUCUUAAAAUUGGGCAUCUCCCCACAAAACCAUGAAAAGAUAAUUUUGGCUUUACUAUAAAUUACUGCAAAUUCUGAACCUGCUUGGAAUGCCUGCCCGUGCCUUGAACUCACCCAUGCCUGGCUCUCUGACCAGGUAGCAGCCCUCUCUGAAAGUUAGUGACACCUCAUAAAUAUUGGCCUUCCCUGGCCAGACAACGACCCUUUCUGAGGCUCUAAUGGUCCUCAUAAAUUCUGAUGUUGGGGCCAGCAAAAAAUGUAAACUACCAUUAGUAUGAUGCUUGUCAGAGUUCUGUUAUCUGUAACCCCCCUUUGUGUAACUUUCUGGGCUAUAAAGCUGGGCUUCAGGAAAGCUGGGGUGCUGUCUUGUUCCCGCCGUUUUGGGAGGGAGAGGCAGCCCGGCCGGUUGAAAUAAUAAGCUUGCUUUAAUUUGACUUUAAUUGGAGUCAGUGGUCUUUUCUUGUGUCCUGGUCUAACACCAGCGGCUUGGGAGGCCGAGGCAAGAGGAUCGAGAGUUCAAAGCUAGCCUCAGCACCUUAGCGAGACCCUUUCUCAAAAUAAAAAAUAAAAUGGGCUGGGGAUGUGGCUCAGUGGUUAAGCACCCCUGGGAUCAAUCCCUAGUACCAAAAAAAGAAAAGUGUGUUUCUGAAGCUGAGAGGUAUAAUAACUGAAAUGAAAAUCUAACGUCCAGCCUUGUCCUAGUCUAAUCACAUUAAAAUGUCUGGAGUGGGGGCUCCAGCAUUAGUUUCUCAAAACUCUGUGAACAUGGAGAACCUCUGUCCCAGAAGUUUUGAUUUAGCCUCCAGAAGCUGUGAGUCUACAGAAGAGGCACAUUAUCAUCACGUGAAGAACUCUAGAAAUACUGACUUCUGGAUUCCUCCCCAAAUCAUUUGAAAAGGAAGCUUUGGGGGUAAACACUGGGAAUUGGCCUUUUGAACACAUUUCCUUAAUAAUUCUGAUGACCACACAAUUCCAUGAAUUCCAUCUUCCAUAUCGGAAAGACUUUUCUUCAUCAGGAUACCAACAGCCCCACUAUCUAGUGCACAUGUGUUAAUAGCAUUUGUUAAUAGUCCCUUGAUGAGGCUGAGUUCGCUGAAUGAUUCACUGACUCAUUUCAGACUAACCUCGUGUCUUGAGGGCCCUGGGAAUGCAGCAGUGCACUGAGGAGACGUAUCCCUGCCCUCAUGAAGCAUUCUUUCCAGCACAGGAGCCAAAUAGAUCACAUGAUUAUGACUGUUGACGAGGAAAUUAAAGUGAGACAAGGGGUUAGAGAGGGAGGGGAGUGGGCAGGGUGUCACCAGUAGCUGACAUUGAAGAAGGGACAGUGAAGGGGGAGCCUACUGUUGAGGGACAUCUAGGAAGAGAGCCUGCUGAUUGAAUAAAAACACCUGAAAUCUCGGCUUAAAAGGAAGACAACUUGCACCUUCCAGUGUCUCCCUUUUGUUUUGGAUCAUCUCUCAUCUGGGGCCAAAUGGCCUCGCUCUGGGGCCUUCGACCAGUAUGGGUGUGAAUUUUGAGCUGGCCACACCAUCCCAAAGAGUCACAAUGUCUUCAACUGUAAAAUUCCUUAAUAGUCACCAGGAUUCCUCUCUGACGGUAGGAUUGCCAUCGCGGGUACCUGGCAUAGGGAGGUAGAGUGCAAGGGUUAAGUCAUGAGUGCUGCAGCCAAUGGCUUCCAUCCAGAGCCUGGCUCUGCCAUUUUCUUACCAUAAAACUCCAAGCAAAUCAUUUCGCCUUUCUGAGUCUUUUUGGCUUACGUGCUAGAAACAAAAAUGUCAUGUCCUACUUCUGAACCUGGGACCAUGUUAGGUUACUUGAUCAGAGGGAAUCAAGGUUGCAGAUGAGAUUAAGACUGCUAGUCAGCUGACUUCUUCUUUUUUAGUCGUAGACAGACACAAUGCCUUUUAAAAGAAUUUUUAGAUGUUGAUGGACCUUUAUUUUAUUCAUUUAUUUAUGUGUGGUGCUGAGAAUCGAGCCCAGGGCCUUAUACAUGCCAGGCAAGUGCUCUGCCACUGAGCCCCAGCCCAGCCCAACACAAUGCCUUUUUUAUUUUAUUUUAUUUAUUUUUAUAUAGUGCUAAGGAUCCACCCAGUGCCUCACACUUGCUAGCCAAGCACUGUACCACUGAGCUACAACUCCAGCCCCUCGUCAGCUGACUUUAAGACCAGGAGAUCAUCCUGUGCUAUCCAGCUGGGGUCCUUACCCGUGGAGCAGGGGGCAGAAGAAUGGUCACAGUGACGUGAUGUCAGGAUGGGGCCCAGGGUUGCUGGUUUGUACACGAAGGAGACUCUAGUCAAGGAAUGCCAGUGGUCCCUGGGGAAAAAUUCAGGCUACUCUGCUGGUACUGAACUUUGGCCCACAGAGGCCUGUGUAGGACUUGCAACCUACAGAACUGGAGAUGGUGAGUUUGUAUUGCUGAAGCCACCCACCAUGCUAGUGGCAAUUAGCAGCAAUAAGAAACGAAUAAAAUCUAUCAUUUGAAAAUGGACAACAUCAUAGUAUCCGCCUCACUGGCUGUUCUGGAGGGUUCUCUGAGCCCCCCUCAGUGCUAGGUCCCCAGUAAGUGCUCUGGCAGAUAAAACAAAGAUGUCCAUACCGUAGUCUCCAGGACCUGGGAGUGUUACCCUACUUGCCAAAAGGGACUUCCUAGAUGUGAAUAAAGAUUUUGAGUCAGAUUAUCCUGGUGGGCUCAAUGUGGUCAGAGAUCCUUACAAGCAAAGGGAGGGAGGCAGGAAGGCCAGAAUCCUGGAAGGAGACGUGAGGACAGAAGCCAGAUGAAGGUAGGGAGAAUAAGGGAAGGGAGAGAGAGGGGAGGGAGGCCCGGAGUCGGGGAGAGAGAGUGCUAAUGAUUUUUUUUUUCUUUUUCUUUUCCAGUGCUGGGGAUAGAACCUAGGGCCUUGCACAUGCUGGACCAAUGCUCUUCCACCGAUCUGCACUCCCAGCUGGACACACAGGGAGAGAUUUGAAGAUGCCAUGCUGUGGGUUUUGAAGAUAGAGAAAGGGAUCGGGAUCCAAGGAAUGUGCAAGAUCUCUGGAAGCUGGAAAAGUAAGAAACACCUUUGUAGAAGAUCGUAGAGGAUCGCGGACCUGCUGACACCUAGUUCUGGGACUCCUGGCUUCCAGCACCGUAAAAGAACACAUUUGUGCAGUCUCAGGGAGGAGGCAAUCAGUUCCAGCAGCCACGGGAAACAACACAGUGCUCAAUAAACGCUGAGUAUUGCCAUUAGGUGGACCUCCAGCCUUAGGUCAGGUACAGGGUGCUCAGAAGUACUAAUCACAAUAGCAGUGAUGGUGCCUGGAAUCCACCAGGGGCACACCAAGAUGCCGCCUCCAGUUUUUUCUGCUUAAUUUUUGGCCUCCAAAGCAUCUAAAAGCAUUUUGCUCGCAAUUUUUUGUUUGUUUUUAAAAAUUAAAUUCAAAACCAGGAACUUCCUCCUACCAGGCAGGUCUCUGCCAUGUGCUAGCGAAAGCUAAUAGCUUUGUCUUAGAAGAGGCAGUGGGGAUAGGCAAUACACCCAGGGUAGAAAAGGGUGCCCAGCCCCGGUCCUGGCACUGCUUGGCCGGUGACUUGGGUCAUCUUGCUUCUCUUCUCUGAGCUUCAUUUUCACCCAUUAGAAAACAAAGGGAUUAAAGCGUCCACAAUUCCCAUUGGUUAGGCACCUUUGAUGUAUGUCACAGUUUGGAUCUGAAAUGUCCCCUGAAGGUUCAAGUGUUAAAAAUGGGGUCCCCAAUGCAGCAGUGUUCAGAGUGGGGCUUUGGGAAGUGACUGGAUCAUGAGAACUCUGGUCUCAUCAGUGGAUUAAUCCUUCCAUUGGCUCAUGAUAGAAUGGGCUUUGGGGAUGGGGUGGGAACUGCAGAAGGUGGGGCCUAGUUGGAAGAAGUAGGUGGGGGGUGGUGUGUGCCUCAGAAGGGUGUGUCUUGGCCUUGGCCGCUUCUUCUCUUUCUGCUCCACCUUUAAGGAAGUUGGCUUUGUUCCACCAUGUGCUCCCCACCAGGAUGUUCAGCCUCGCCUCAGGCCCAAGGGGAUGGGGCCUAGCAAUGGACUGAACCCUCUAAACUGUGAACCAAGACCAAUCUUUCAUCUCUUGUUUUCCUCAGGCAUUUUGUCACAGUAAUGGAAAGCUGACACAAUGUCCAAGGUGUGUGUAUACUCUUAUUUGAGCCCUGUGAAGUCAAUGCAAGGAAUCAUUUCCGUUUUAUAACCCAGAACACUGAGAGGCCCACAGAGGUUAAGUGACUUACUCAAGUCACAGAGUUGGCAGAGCUGGGAUUUAAGCCAGGACCACUUGACUCCUUUAUGACGUGCCCCUCCACCUUUAACAUGUCAUUGCCCUCUCUGAGGACAAUGACAUGUUUAAAGGACAUAUUUACAUAUCUGCUCUGGUGUUAUUGUUUGGACAUGAGGUCUCCCCCCAUGCCCAAAAGUUCCUGUGUUAAUUCAGAAAUAUUCAGAGGUAAAAUCCUCAGAUUAUGCGAGCCCGUCAGUCCGUCCUAUUUUGAAGGGACUCACUAACUGGGUGUAACUACCUGUAGGCUGGGGUGUGUGGCUGGGGAGGUGGGUCACUGGGAGGUGCCCUGGGAGGGUUCAGCUCCCUGCCGUCCUGCCUUUCUCCUCCUUCUCUCUGCUUCCUGGCAACCAUAAACAGAGCAGCCUUCCUCCUCCAGGCCCCUCCGCCAUGAUGUUCUGCCUCUCCUGGGCCCAGAGCUAUGGAGUCGGCCCACAGGGUCUAAUCUCUUAAACUGUGAGCCAAAAUAAACUUUUCCUCCUCUAAAUUGUUCCCACCAUGUAUUUUGGUCACAGAUGAAAAGCUGGCGAACCCAUCUGGUGUCUCUGGGAGUCACAGAGAGGACAGGGAGGAGCUAUGAGCAGCCCCACAGUGGGUCACCUUCUAACUUACACACGCGCAUCCUGGAAGUGGUCGCUCCCUCAGAGCCUCUGACCCAGCUCCUCAGAGGCUUUCCUCAGGAAGACCCAUCCCACCUCACCUGUUGUGACAGACACCACAGUUGCAAAACCAGUGUAUAUUCUCCCCUUCUGACUUAGUAACAGAAUCCCCGUUUUCUUUGAAUGACAAUGGGCCCAGUUAAAAAUACCUCCUUGCAUUCCCUCCCCUGGAGCUAAUGUGAUCAAUCCUCAGACUCAGUUUUUUAUUUAUUUUUAGUUGGACCCGAUACCUUCAUUUUAUUUAUUUUUAUGUGGUGCUGAGGAUCGAACCCAGUGCCUUGCAUGUGCUAGGCGAGCGCUCUACCCCUGAGCCACAACCCCAGCCCUCUGGUCCAGUUUUGAUCAAUGAGAUAUAAAUAGAAAUUUGGAUGGGGCUCCCUGGGAAUUUCUUGUCUUCCUCAUACAAAAAGGCUGAGGAACUCAACAGGCGCAUGCCUUUUUCUCUUUGCCUUUGCCAUUAUUCCUGCCUGGAAUGUAGGUGAGAUUACUGGAAGUAGGGCAAUCAUCUUAUGACUAUGAGGAAAGAACCCCUUGCUAAAGAUAGCCGAGGAGGAAGGCAGAAGGAGCUUCUGUCCUUAAGGAUUUCUUUGAGACUCUUUACUAAGCUGGACUGCCUACCUCUGGACAUCUUCCUGAGGAGAUAAAAAUGAAAGCUUUAUUAAGUCAGAUUUCUGUUUCAUACAACUCAGUGUAAUCCUGACUGAUAAGUUCUCCAAGAAAGGUCUAUUUCUGGCCCCAAGCCCUGAUGUGCUGCAUUAAUAAGCACGUGUGAUGACCUGAAAAUAGACCUCGGAGGAAGAGGCAUGGCUGUGGCUAUGACUGUGAGCUUGCUGAGCUAUCCCCUGUCCUGUCCGUUCUCUAGAUAAAGUGAGGUUCAUUCCCACUGUCUUCAGUCAGAGCACAGCGGCCUAAUGCACGUGUUUCAGGAAAGCUCAAAUAUAGCUCCAAGUCUGUUGCUUUUGCUGAGUGAGCAGCACCUGCGUGUCUUGCAGUCCCGGUGCAGGAGUUGGGGGUGUCUCUAGGAAGGUGGGGUCUCAGAAGGGUCUAGAAACCAGGGGUGAGGGCAAAGCCUGGUUCAAGCAGACAAGCUCUCCUUCUUUUGGUUUCCUGUGACAUGGGUUAGCAUAUGACAAAACUUGCUUGAGGUGCAAACUGGGACUCAGAGGGUGAAGUGACAGUGUCAACCCAGUUGCUUGGUUGCGUGAAUAGAAGUGGGCUCCGUAGAACUGGAGGGGAAAAUUGUUUGCCAGACGAAUACAGGAUGGGUCCCAGAAUCAGUGGCAGGUUUGGACACACUGACCUGGGGCUUUAGCUGCAGGAAGUCUAGGUAGCAGAGACCAGCGUCCGAACGACAGCGUGGUCAUGAGCUCGGUCCUCAGCUGAAGGAAGGCAGGUGCUGGGAGGAGCCCUUCCACACGGUCUGGGGAAGAGGUUUGCUGGAAGCAACCAAGGAACUUAGCACCAAAAAAAAAAAAAAAAAAAGGUAGUAAAAGCCAAAAAAGAGAAAGAAACCAUAUUAGUAUAGAAUUAGCCCAGGGCUUGUGUUUUGGGAUCAGCUGACUUCAGUUACAGUCUUAGCUCUGCCCCCUCCUGUCUGUCUUUGAUGAAGUCAAUGAACUUCAUUAGGCCUCAGUUUCCUCAACUGAUAAGAAAGAGCCAGGAUGGGGCUGGGCUGUGGCUCCGUGGCAGAGCACAUGCCUAGUAUGUGUGAGGCCCUGGGUUCGAUGCUCAGCCCUGCAUAGAAAUAAAUAAAAUAAAGAUCCAUUGACAACUAAAAAAUAUUUUUAAAAAAGAUUGAGCCAUGAACAUAAGCUCCAGGAGGGCAGGGAUUUUGUCUUUCCCCACCAUGUGCUUGUCCCAGCGCCUAGAGCCUAGAUUAGUGCCUGGAAAUCAUGGAUGCUCAGUAUCUACUCAGAGAAUGAAUGAAUGCGCCUCUUGUUGGUCCCAGCAACCUCUUAGGUAGAGAGUUAUUGUGUUGCAAAUGCACUGUGUAAGGUACCUGGCCUGGCGGGGAGGGUUCCUGCCUCACCACCUACCCUGGGGACGGGGAGGAGAGACACCCCCCCACCCCAGACACUCGGGGAGAGAAGCAGCUGCCUGGGCGCUGGGCCUGACUCGCCCUGGAGGGGGAGGACCUGUUGACCCACGUGCACAAGCCACCAAGCCUCACGCUCAGGAGCAGAGCCCUGUAGCUGGCAGCAGCAACCCCACGUUGUGCGUUGUGCGUGGGACAGAGCCACUCCGGCAGCCUCUGGGACUUCCUGGCACAAGGAGUGGGUGUGUUAAACCCUGCUCCCACCUUUGACGUGUUAAGGAGUCGGAAGUCACCACACCCCUACGCUUCACAGAGGACCUUGACAUAUUGUGGUGA